rnacentral:rRNA from 1 species
UGAAUACGAGACGCUAAGGCGUCGAAGUAGUGUAUGUCAUACUUCCAAGAAAAGCUUGCACUGUCAUAGAUAAAAAACGCCUGUACCAUAACCGACACAGGUGGGUAGGUAGAGUAUACUAAGGGGCGCGAGAUAACUCUCUCUAAGGAACUCGGCAAAAUAACUCCGUAACUUCGGGAGAAGGAGUGCCUUAUUCGUAAGGUUGCAAUAACAAGAUCCAAGCAACUGUUUAUCAAAAACACAGGACUCCGCUAAGUCGUAAGACGAUGUAUGGGGGCUGACGCCUGCCCAGUGCCAGAAGGUUAAAGAAGUUGGUUAGCAAUUGCGAAGCUGAUAACUGAAGCCCUGGUGAACGGCGGCCGUAACGAUAACGGUCCUAAGGUAGCGAAAUUCCUUGUCGGGUAAGUUCCGACCCGCACGAAAGGCGUAAUGAUUUGGAUACUGUCUCGGAGAGGGGCUCGGUGAAAUAGACUUGUCUGUGAAGAUGCGGACUACCUGCACCAGGACAGAAAGACCCUAUGAAGCUUUACUGUAACUUGGAAUUGAAAUUGGACUUUAUUCGCGCAGUAUAGGUGGGAGGCGUUGAUUAUAAUCUUGUGGGAUUAUUGGAGCCAUCAGUGAGAUACCACUCUUGUAAUGUUAGAUUUCUAACUUUGAAUCAUUAUCUGGUCAAAGAACAGUUUCAGGCGGGCAGUUUGACUGGGGCGGUCGCCUCCUAAACGGUAACGGAGGCGUACAAAGGUUUCCUCUGAACGGUUAGAAAUCGUAUCUAGAGUGUAAAGGCAUAAGGAAGCUUGACUGUGAGACCUACAAGUCGAGCAGGACGAAAGUCGGUCUUAGUGAUCUGACGGUACUGAGUGGAAAGGCCGUCACUCAACGGAUAAAAGUUACUCUUAGGAUAACAGGCUGAUCUCCCCCAAGAGUUCACAUCGACGGGGAGGUUUGGCACCUCGAUGUCGGCUCAUCGCAUCCUGGGGCGGUAGUACGUCCCAAGGGUUGGGCUGUUCGCCCAUGAAAGCGGUACGCGAGCUGGGUUCAGAACGUCGUGAGACAGUUCGGUCCAUAUCCGGUGUAGGCGUUAGAAUAUUGAGAGGAGCCUUCUUUAGUACGAGAGGACCGAGAAGGACAUACCUCUGGUGUACCAGUUAUCGUGCCAACGGUAAACGCUGGGUAGCUAUGUAUGGAGUGGAUAACCGCUGAAAGCAUCUAAGUGGGAAGCCCACCUCAAGAUAAGUA